rnacentral:rRNA from 1 species
UACGAAGGGGGCGAGCGUUGUUCGGAAUUACUGGGCGUAAAGGGCGCGUAGGCGGCCCUCUUUGUCGCGUGUGAAAGCCCCGGGCUCAACCUGGGAACGGCGCGCGAAACGGGGGGGCUGGAGUUCGGGAGAGGAGCGUGGAAUUCCCAGUGUAGAGGUGAAAUUCGUAGAUAUUCGCAAGAACACCAGUGGCGAAGGCGGCUCACUGGCCCGAUACCGUGACGCUGAGGCACGAAAGCGUGGGGAGCAAACAGG